AUGUCCGCGGUAACUAUAACCGUGUUAAAGUGGGUAGCGCCGCUUUAAUGAAAUCCGGCUAUAUGCUGGAACAUCUGGAGUAUCUGGCACUACUAAGGCAUAGUUAUCCUUAGAGUGGUAACUCUACGGAAUUAUGCCGAGUGAAAAUGUGUCCAGUGCAGACAAUCAGCAGGAAAGACUCUGAUAAAAUCAGAGAAUCCUCAGAGACUAUACGCCGGACCUCCUCCUUUCGAUCGAAAGAAGGGGGAAGAUAUAGUCCGAUCUCUCUGGCGACAGAGAG
rnacentral:ncRNA from 1 species